CCUACGUGAGGCAGCAGUGGGGAAUAUUGCACAAUGGGGGGAACCCUGAUGCAGCGAUGCCGCGUGGAGGAAGAAGGUUUUCGGAUUGUAAACUCCUUUUAUCAGGGACGAUAAUGACGGUACCUGAAGAAAAAGCUCCGGCUAACUACGUGCCAGCAGCCGCGGUAAUACGUAGGGAGUGAGCGUUGUCCGGAAUUACUGGGUGUAAAGGGAGCGUAGGCGGGACGGCAAGUCAGAUGUGAAAACUGAGGGCUCAACCUUCAGACUGCAUUUGAAACUGCUGUUCUUGAGUGAAGUAGAGGUAAGCGGAAUGCCUAGUGUAGCGGUGAAAUGCGUAGAUAUUAGGAGGAACACCAGAGGCGAAGGCGGCUAACUGGACUGCAACUGACGCUGAGGCACGAAAGUGUGGGGAGCAAACAGGAUUAGAUACCCUUGUAGUC
rnacentral:rRNA from 1 species